rnacentral:rRNA from 1 species
ACGGAAGGUUCGGGCGUUAUCCGGAUUUAUUGGGUUUAAAGGGAGCGUAGGCCGUUUGGUAAGCGUGUUGUGAAAUGUAGGAGCUCAACUUCUAGAUUGCAGCGCGAACUGUCAGACUUGAGUGCGCACAACGUAGGCGGAAUUCAUGGUGUAGCGGUGAAAUGCUUAGAUAUCAUGAAGAACUCCGAUUGCGAAGGCAGCUUACGGGAGCGCAACUGACGCUGAAGCUCGAAGGUGCGGGUAUCGAACAG